rnacentral:rRNA from 1 species
GCGGUGGAUGAUGUGGAUUAAUUCGAUGCAACGCGAAAACCUUACCUACCCUUGACAUGUCCGGAAUCCUGCAGAGAUGCGGGAGUGCCGAAAGGGAAUCGGAACACAGGUGCUGCAUGGCUGUCGUCAGCUCGUGUCGUGAGAUGUUGGGUUAAGUCCCGCAACGAGCGCAACCCUUAUCAUUAGUUGCUACGCAAGGGCACUCUAAUGAGACUGCCGGUGACAAACCGGAGGAAGUGGGGAUGACGUCAAGUCCUCAUGGCCCUUAUGGGUAGGGCUUCACACGUCAUACAAUGGUCGGUACAGAGGGUUGCCAAGCCGCGAGGUGGAGCCAAUCCCAGAAAGCCGAUCGUAGUCCGGAUUGUUCUCUGCAACUCGAGAGCAUGAAGUCGGAAUCGCUAGUAAUCGCGGAUCAGCAUGUCGCGGUGAAUACGUUCCCGGGUCUU